rnacentral:rRNA from 1 species
UACGGGGGGGGGCAAGCGUUGUUCGGAAUUACUGGGCGUAAAGGGCGCGUAGGCGGCCCGCUAAGUCGAACGUGAAAUCCCCGAGCUCAACUCGGGAACUGCGUCCGAUACUGGCGGGCUUGAAUCCGGGAGAGGGAUGCGGAAUUCCAGGUGUAGCGGUGAAAUGCGUAGAUAUCUGGAGGAACACCGGUGGCGAAGGCGGCAUCCUGGACCGGUAUUGACGCUGAGGAGCGAAAGCGUGGGGAGCGAACAGG